UACGGGGGGGGCAAGCGUUGUUCGGAAUUACUGGGCGUAAAGGGCUCGUAGGUGGCCGACUAAGUCAGACGUGAAAUCCCCAGGCUUAACCUGGGAACUGCGUCUGAUACUGGAUGGCUUGAAUUCGGGAGAGGGAUGCAGAAUUCCAGGUGUAGCGGUGAAAUGCGUAGAUAUCUGGAGGAAUACCGGUGGCGAAGGCGGCAUCCUGGACCGAGAUUGACACUGAUGAGCGAAAGCCAGGGGAGCAAACGGG
rnacentral:rRNA from 1 species